UACAGAGGGGGCAAGCGUUGUUCGGAAUUACUGGGCGUAAAGGGCGCGUAGGCGGCCUUCUAAGUCGAACGUGAAAUCCCCGGGCUCAACCCGGGAACUGCGUCCGAUACUGGAAGGCUUGAAUCCGGGAGAGGGAUGUGGAAUUCCAGGUGUAGCGGUGAAAUGCGUAGAUAUCUGGAGGAACACCGGUGGCGAAGGCGACAUCCUGGACCGGUAUUGACGCUGAGGCGCGAAAGCUAGGGUAGCAAACGGG
rnacentral:rRNA from 1 species